AUUCAAUACAAUCAAAUUAAUUUGUGGAUUUCAUCAUUGUAAUCGAUCUGAAAAUUUGAUACUAUUACAACAAACAACGUCUUCGGCGAUAUUCUGUCCGAUGAGGCUUCAAUGCUUACUGGGAGUAUACGAAUGCUUCCGUCAGCUUGAAUUGGCGACUCGGGACCAGGACUGUAUGAACCUAUCCACGGUUUUGCUCCUGAUAUUGCUGGACAAGUAGAGUUGACUAUGAAAUGGAUCGAUCAGUUUAAAUUUUUUAAUGAUGAUAAGUCUCAACAGUUGCGGACAACUUG